rnacentral:rRNA from 1 species
CCCUUAGAUGUUCUGGGCUGCACGCGCGCUACACUGACACUAUCAACGAGUGCUCCUGGUUUGAAAGGAUCGGGUAAUCUUUUGAAAUGGUGUCGUGAUGGGGAUAGAUCAUUGCAAUUAUUGAUCUUGAACGAGGAAUUCCUGGUAAAUGUGAGUCAUCAGCUCACGUUGAUUACGUCCCUGCCCUUUGUACACACCGCCCGUCGCUCCUACCGAUUGAGUGAACCGAUGAGUAGUCCGGAUUGCGAUCGACCUCGGUUAAUCGCGAGAAGUUCCGCAAAUCACUUCACUUAGAGGAAGGAGAAGUCGUAACA